rnacentral:rRNA from 1 species
UACAGAGGUGGCAAGCGUUGUUCGGAAUUACUGGGCGUAAAGGGCGCGUAGGCGGCCUACUAAGUCAGACGUGAAAUCCCCCGGCUUAACCUGGGAACUGCGUCUGAUACUGGAAGGCUUGAGUAUGGGAGAGGGAUGUAGAAUUCCAGGUGUAGCGGUGAAAUGCGCAGAUAUCAGGAAGAACACCCGUGGCUAAGGCGGCUCUCUAGUACGGUACUGACGCUGAGACGCGAAAGCGUGGGGAGCGAACAGG